GACGAACGCUGGCGGCGUGCCUAAUACAUGCAAGUAGAACGCUGAAGGAGGAGCUUGCUUCUCUGGAUGAGUUGCGAACGGGUGAGUAACGCGUAGGUAACCUGCCUGGUAGCGGGGGAUAACUAUUGGAAACGAUAGCUAAUACCGCAUAAUAGUAGCUGUUGCAUGACAUUUGCCUAAAAGGUGCAAUUGCAUCACUACCAGAUGGACCUGCGUUGUAUUAGCUAGUUGGUGGGGUAACGGCUCACCAAGGCGACGAUACAUAGCCGCACUGAGAGGGUGAUCGGCCACACUGGGACUGAGACACGGCCCAGACUCCUACAGGAGGCAGCAGUAGGGAUUCUUCGGCAAUCGACGGAAGUCUGACCGAGCAACGCCGCGUGAGUGAAGAAGGUUUUCGGAUCGUAAAGCUCGGUUGUAAGAGAAGAACGAGUGUGAGAGUGGAAAGUUCACACUGUGACGGUAUCUUACCAGAAAGGGACGGCUAACUACGUG
rnacentral:rRNA from 1 species